AAGUCGUAACAAGGUUUCCGUAGGUGAACCUGCGGAAGGAUCAUUAGCGAGAGCCUGCCACCAGCGAUAUGAGCUGGUGUGCAAGCGCGCCAUCCUUGUGUUGUGUGUUUGGUGUUGUGUGUGCAUACGCUUGCCGUGUGUGCACAUGCGCAUUUUUCUCACUCUAUUCAUUCAUGUCUGAUCAUCAUGCCCGCAUGGGCACAAACAACCGAAAACUGCCAGCAAUGGAUCACUCGGUUCUC
rnacentral:misc_RNA from 1 species